rnacentral:rRNA from 1 species
GUGGAUUAGAUACCCUGGUAGUCCACGCUGUAAACGAUGGGCACUAGGUGUUCGGGGUAUUGACCCCCUGAGUGCCGCAGCUAACGCAUUAAGUGCCCCGCCUGGGGAAUACGGCCGCAAGGUUAAAACUCAAAGGAAUUGACGGGGGCCCGCACAAGCGGUGGAGCAUGUGGUUUAAUUCGACGCAACGCGAAGAACCUUACCUGGGCUAGACAACAUCGGACAGCCCCAGAAAUGGGGUCUCCCCGCAAGGGGCCGGUGGUUCAGGUGCUGCACGGCCGUCGUCAGCU